rnacentral:lncRNA from 1 species
CUCUCUCUUUCUCUCUUCUCCCUCUCCCAUGCCACAUUUCUUCUUCUUCUUCCUCUCUGCAACAACCACAAAACACACCAAAACUCACAAACGUGACAAACCAACUACACCAUUGUGAUCAUCUCAGUCCCACGAUCACAACCAUGUCCUUGAAAUCUGGUGUGGACGAGUUUUGACUCACCAACUCGGAAGGUCGACUCGACGAGUUCGACAUAUCGAUUUUCAGGCCAUGCAUGGCUUAGGUAAGCCUUGAGAAACCCUUAGAACUUUCAUUUCACUUCUAUGGGUUGUUAUUGAUCCUUUGUUUGUGUUUUUGAACGUGUGGUUUUACCCAGAAACUCGAGAAGAAGGAGAACCUACCAUUUUUCACUCAAGAACCAUGGCCAUUUGAUCACUUUCAAACCAUGUUUCUGGUCAACCUCGACCAUAAAUGGACUUCUUCUAGGUACAAACUUGUUCUCUACAUUCCUAACUUCAAAAUGGAUUUUGAAUCACUAAUUUUGGUUAAGUAACGAUUUAGAAAUCAACUUUGGAAGUUGGGAAGAAAAUUUUAGUUUUUUGGAAAAUUUCAGCCGUGGUCGUUUGGCCACUUUCAGGCCAAAUUUCUGAUUAACGCAAACCAUAUUCAAACUUUCUGUAAAUUGGGAUCGGUAGAUCACAUUCCUAGCUUUAAUUUUGCUUUUGUAAAAGUGAAUUUGGUUGAGAAUCGAGCUCGGUAGGGGCUCUGGAAAUUGGCCCAAAAAUCUGCAAAACUGCAGAUUUUCGCGAAGAAGGCGAGUACAGUGUACUCGCGGGGGCGCGUGGGCAGCCACUUUGGGCGGCGCAUGGUUGAUACGUGUGUGUUCGUGUCGUCGAGUAGAUCGAUUUCAUAUAUUUAUAUCCUAUGUUUGAGCAAACUAUGGGGGGUUUUAUUUAGGUUUCCGUUAUGUACUUUAAUUAAUGUUGUUUAGUUAUUUCACAUAUAGGGAAAACUUAUUCCGAGGAUUUUCGAGGCCAAGCUAGGUUCGGGGGCUACGACCCAACAACGUACUUGUGAGUGAGCAGUUGUUUUAUACCUAUAUAUAUUUAUAGUUUCCAUAAAUGCGUAUUUACUUCACUUUUACGCCUAUAUUGCCUAGUAUCAUUAUUGUGAUAUAAAUUGUGAUAAAUGCUACUAUGAUUGUGAUAUUACUGUCAUGGCAUUCAUACAUACUUAUAUACAUGCUCAUCUUGCUGCACCCGGUGUUAGUACUCGCCCAAGGGCCAGGGCCAGUCCUUCACGUGUAUGUUCACAUCUGCACCGUUCGCUCACCUUGGAUCCAAGUUUAGGUGCCAGUCUUGUCGGGUAGAUUGCAUUAGGCGAUCCGACUUGUAUGUGAUGUGCUUUUGCACCAAUCUUCACGUGAUCGCAGUACUAGAGCAUAUUGAUUACACCCAGUCAUGUUCGUGUCAGAAACCAUUUGUUCGAACUUGUGUGUCAGCUUAGAUGGAUGAGCACUUAGUUAUAUUGAUUAUCACAUGAUUAUUAUUGUGGCAUAUGAUACAUCAUUUGCUUGGCAUAUUUCUGGUUAUAUGGCUGAUAUAUUGGAUUUCAUACUUACGUAGUAUGUUUUGAGGAAACUAUACUUGUUUUACGGCGAGGGGUUAGUAUAUUCAAAGAUAAAGGUUUUCUUAUAAGCAUUGUUUUGCUGACCACCUCAACUUUGUUUUUCGCCCUUCAGGACCUAGAUAGUUGUACUCUCUGUGGCACUCGAGGAAUCACGGCAGUUCUGACAUUUCCUUCUGUUUAGACGUACGAACUUAUCACUAUUAUGUAAUAAGUGUACUUUGGUUGCUUUGACUACUCUUUCGUAGUCUCCCUUGUCUAUUACGCUCUGAAUAAUUGUAGU